rnacentral:snRNA from 1 species
GAAUGUGAAGAUAAUCCAUUGGCAACACGUCAUUUCCUCGAUCAACAUGAUUGAUGAGGCUUAUUUGAGUGGCUGAGAAUGUUUCUCUUUCCUCCCUUACAGUUCCAUGUGCAUCCCUUCCAAAGCCACAUGCUCAAUCAAAGAAGAUGGACGAUCUUUCCAGAUAGAGUAGUGCUGUUCUUUAGUCAAGGAUAUAGAGUGGUUGUGUUUCCAUACCAGAACCUCUAUUCCAGUGGUUCUCAAACUUCAGCAUGCAUUAGAAUCACCAGGGGUGAGGGUGGGGUGGGUAUUAAUGUAUACAUUGCUGGGCCCCCACUCCCAGGGCUUCAUUCAGUCAGGAGAGGGGCCAGAUAAU